rnacentral:misc_RNA from 1 species
UUUUUUUUUUUUUUUUUAAUUGUUCUGGUUGUGAUCUUUCUCAAUCAUAGCUGUCACGUGACUUUCCACAUGCUUAUUUGGGAAGAGAAAUUUGUAAAUACAAAGUACAGAUGAGCUGUGUUGCUUACAGUUAAGUAGGUUGUCUGAACAUCAUUCAUAAAGUGCUACCAGUUUGUAUGGUUUGGAUCAUCAACUUAUAUGUGAGGACAUUAAGUCCUCUGAUGGUGAGGAAAAUCAGGUUUCUUUACUGUACCUUAUAUAGUAAACUAAUUCCAGAAAAUUUU